GCCUGGGUGGCUCAGUUGGUUGAGUGUCAGACUCUUGAUUUUAGCUCAGGUUCAUGGGGUCGAGCCCCAUGUCAGGCU
rnacentral:tRNA from 1 species